AUUUGCAUUUUGACAGACAAUUGAAGAUAAUCUUUAGACCCACUGGGAAUAUUGUCUUAAUGUUUUACUAUUUAUACAUCACAGUUCAAAAGAUUGUUUACUUUGUCCCCCAAAUUAUCACUCAGUGAUUAACUCAAGAAACACAGUAAUAAAAAUGGAAACUAAGAUGAAGUCAAAAUCACACUUAAAAUAGAAUUAAAUCCUUAUCGGGGAGGAUUAACCAUCACAAAAAUUGACUGUGAUUAAAACAUAGCAGGAACCUGAGGUUAUGCUGGUCAUUUUUCAAAAGAACUCGGUGAUUCAUCAGAUGCCAGCUGGAUCAAUGGCCAUCUUCCCAUUCCCAGAGACAUACCCAGGAGAGGCAGAUGGGAUCAUGGAGAGAGGGAUUCACCAAGGCAAUCAAAUUUCCUGUGGCCCCAACACUACUCAAAAGGAGCACUCCAAGAAGCAACUUGGUUUCUGUUCUCCCACCUGAUAGGGGGGGCACUGCCUGCUGCUGUCUAGUCACAGUGCCUUGCUUUGUAAGAAUUCCAGGACCUGGGCUUCCUCUUUUCUUUUGCCACAUGAUUCUGCAAAUCAUUUAAUCAGUUUCAGAUUAUGACAACUGACCUGAUGACUGUGAAUAUAUUCUCAGUUCUGCCAAAACUCAUCUGUACAUGGCCUCAGCUAUAUUGAAACCUCAUGCUAUAUUUUGAAAUUUCAAAAAACUGCCUUAGCCAUUUGGACCUUCUGUUUUUCCUAGUUAUUUUGAUAACAGAAAACCAAAGGCUAGCAAUGGUUGCCGGAGAAACUAUAUUGAAAUGUGAGCAAGUAUUAAAAAUAUAUGAAACUGUUAUGAAAAACAGGUCUUGUCCAUCAUCACAAAAAGAAGCGAGUCGUAUACUGGUGGUGGUGACUGCCCAAACUGGCUUGACCAUCUCACUCCAGUUUGGGCCUCUCAUGGCUUUGGUAGCCUAAACACAAUCCCACUUUUAUAUUUUCCCUUCAUUUUACAUCUCAUUAAUACUCAAAGUACCCUCCCCAGUUCAGUCCUUUGUAGCCUGAGGUCUAAAUGUGGUAGAGAAUAAGUUAAACAUUUCGUGGAAAGACCAAAUACACAUUUUUUAAUAAAUAAGUUUCAUUGUGCUGCUGUGUCACAAAGCAAAACUUAUCAAGUAACCAUGGAAAAAAGUAAUGUUGAAGGUAAUACAAGAUAUUUUUCAUUAUAGCAAAACAUGCCUGUGUAUGGCAGAUUUUCCUUGAGCGAGUGGUCUUUCCCAUAUUAGUAACACUAAACUUUAUACAUGAUUAUAUUUCAACUUUACUUUGAUCUAAAGAAAACCAGAGUCAAAUUUAGUCUUUUCCCACACUUUCCCACUUCAUUAGUGCCAUUCAUUUGCAUCCUUGUGAGCAAAACUCUAAUAUUUUUUCUACUCUUAUUUUCUUUUACUCCAUUUUUUUCAUCUAUUCAUUGUUAUUUUGUUAAACUGUAUGUAUUUUUAUGAGAUACCUCAAAACAUAAUGAAGCUAAAAGAAAGUGUAAGUAAGAAGCAGGCAAUAAAGAAAGAUAGAAAAGGAGAUAGAAGAGGAAAUGUUAUCUAUAAUGUGGAUGAGCCAUGAGGAAAACUCAAGAUGGUGGCAUUGCUGCUUAGAAAGCAACUCCUGGCCAGCUGAAACAGACUCUCUUACCAUGUCCUGUGAUUGGUCUUUUUUCACUAAGAUAAUGGGAGAUAGGAGUAUACUUUCUGAGGUUCUUAAGUUAAGAAUACUUUGAUACUUUCAGUUUUUACGAAUAACCUAAGAGUUGCCUACUAAUAAAAGCAUUAGUGGUUAAGAAAAUUUGAAUUAAUUUAUUACUCAAGUCAAAGUGUGGAUCAAAGCUAUGUUGAAUAUCACAGGGGUGGAGAGUUCCACAGGAGGUGGGCAGGGUAAGAGCAGGAAAUGAGGUUGAGAAUCUGAGUUUCAGAUCGAGGCAGACUUGGAUUUGAAUCCUUCCUCAUGGUAUCACCUUCUGUACUUAUUGCCCGAGCCUCAAUGUCCCUUAUCUAUAAAACAAGAUUAACAUAGCAUCUCCCUCUUCAUGUCCUUUAGAAAUUUAACUUGAGACGAAGGCAUUAGAGAACUUAGUAUAGAAUGUUUUCUAUUCACUUUAUUUGAUUUUUAAUUGUGACAGUUUCUUCCCCAAAAAACUUGAGAUUUAUAGAGCAGUUAAGUCAUGCAUACAAGAGUAUAGUUGAGGGUAUAUGUAACAAAUGCCUUGAAGGUGACAUAUGCAAAGUGUUAUGGGGUAAAGGGAACAGAGAGAAAAAUGAUCAAAGUCAGAGACCCAGCUGUGGGGUCAGCAUGAAAAAAAAGCCUCUAGUGAUUUAAAUGAAAGGCUACCUAAUGUGUUCGAGAACAUAUAGUAAAGCUACAUCACGACUCAGGUGGAAGGACAAAUUGGAAUAGACUGUACAAUUUCAAAGUAAAAUGAAAAUGCUAUCGAGAAGAAACUAAUAAUGAGAACACUGCUUUUGCAAAGAAAUCAUUCUGUGAAAAGUAAUACGCUCUUUAUGUUGGCACCAAUUAGGAUAUGAUGCUACAUUAUGUCUCUUCGCAUAACAACAGAAUAUACUGUAGAAUUAAUAUGUGCCAGAAGUCUUUUAGAUACCUAAGAAUCAUGCAAGGUAAGGAUUCUCCCCAUUUUCCAGAGCAAAAGGUGAAGUUUAAUAUGCUUAAAUACUUUGAUUAAAGUCACUUAGCAAAUGAUGGCACAGAGAUGCUUCCUGGCUACAAAGUCCACGUUCCAAAGCCUGUGCCCCUCUCACUAUCAUCCUUUGCAGAAUCUUUUUUGAUGCCUGGGUCAAAAAUGUGGCUUGAUUGUUUACAUGGAGAGUGGGCCCCCUCAUAUAGGAUUUUACAUUAAUUCUCUGAAAAAAAGGCAUAAUGGGAAUUCAAAUAAAUAAGGAUACAGGCUUUAUUUUCCAGAAGAACCAAGUGACACCAACACCAGCAGCGUCUUAUACAAAGAGUGGCUGCCCUCACACUCAUGGAGUAACAACAAACUCAGGAUUUUCUGUUCUUCUAGUGAUUACAGAUCUUGACAGU
rnacentral:lncRNA from 1 species